rnacentral:rRNA from 1 species
CGCGUAGGCGGGAUGGCAAGUCGGUCGUGAAAUCCCUCGGCUCAACCGAAGAACGUCGGCCGAUACUGCCGUUCUUGAGGGAUGCAGAGGAGAUUGGAAUUCCCGGUGUAGCGGUGAAAUGUGUAGAGAUCGGGAGGAACACCGGUGGCGAAGGCGGGUCUCUGGGCAUCUCCUGACGCUGAAGCGCGAAAGCGUGGGAGCAAACG